UUGCUAUGGUGACAAAGAAUGAACUCCGAGGGUCUGUGCAAACGGGGUAACUGGGAAGAAAAGAUCUUAGCUCAUGUACACGGUUUUCCAAAUGAUUCCUUUCAACGUACCUGAAAAGUCACUUCCGUCACCCACGAAGACCGCAGGGGAGGCAAUGAAAGCGGAAGAUGAACACAGGACUGUGGGGGACGCAUCCGCCUCGUCUUCAUUCGGGAAAGCCGUGCCGCUGGCCGGUUGUGCACUGAGCGUGGCAGAGAGCAGGACACAGACCAGCCGGAGCACAGGCAGAGAGGCCACACUGAGAAACACUGCUCCCACCUGAGGCCCCACGCUGCAGACGGGAGCCCAAAGUGCCAGGAACAGGAAGGCCUGGCCCCUUCUCCCCAUCAGGGCUGGUCAAGGAAGGACUGGCUGCGUAAUCCACGGGACUGGUGUAAAACAAAGACGCAGGGCCCCGGUUCAAGCAGUAAUAAGUAUUCCAAGAUGGCUUCACCACGACAUCGAGUGGAGCGCAGGACGCGUUUGAGGGCAGGGUGCCACCUGCUAGCUGGCAGGCCGACAAAGCUCCCCGGGUCUCGCCAUAGUCAUCUCUGUCCACCAGCACCAAGCAUGCUGCCUGGCCCACGCCUGGGGAGUCACAGAUAUUUAUUAAACCGAACGGAGCCUACGAUUCCUCAA